rnacentral:rRNA from 1 species
UACGUAGGUGGCGAGCGUUAUCCGGAAUGAUUGGGCGUAAAGGGUGCGCAGGCGGAUUUUUAAGUCAGCGGUCAAAUCGUGGGGCUCAACCCCAUCCAGCCGUUGAAACUGGGGAUCUAGAGUGUGCGAGAGGUAUGCGGAAUGCGCGGUGUAGCGGUGAAAUGCAUAGAUAUCGCGCAGAACUCCGAUUGCGAAGGCAGCAUGCCGGCUCCACACUGACGCUGAGGCACGAAAGCGUGGGUAUCGAACAGG